GACGAACGCUGGCGGCGUGCUUAACACAUGCAAGUCGAACGGAAAGGCCCUGCUGUUGUGGGGUGCUCGAGUGGCGAACGGGUGAGUAACACGUGAGUAACCUGCCCUUGACUUUGGGAUAACUUCAGGAAACUGGGGCUAAUACCGGAUAGGAGCUCCGGCUGCAGGGUGGGGGGUGGGAAGUUUCGGCGGUUGGGGAUGGACUCGCGGCUUAUCAGCUUGUUGGUGGGGUAGUGGCUUACCAAGGCUUUGACGGGUAGCCGGCCUGAGAGGGUGACCGGCCCUGAGAGGCCGGAGAUACUGCUCAGACUGGUAGGGGAGGCAAAAGUGGGAAAUAUGGCGAAAUGGGGGGACGGCUGAGCCAGGAGCGGGGCGUGCGGGAUCACGGUCUUCGCGUUUUAAACCGCCGUCGCCGGUCACUAAGCGUUAGUGACGGUAAGGAGUAAAGAAGCACCGGCUAACUACGUG
rnacentral:rRNA from 1 species